rnacentral:rRNA from 2 species
AAAUUGAAGAGUUUGAUCAUGGCUCAGAUUGAACGCUGGCGGCAGGCCUAACACAUGCAAGUCGAGCGGUAACACAGAGAGCUUGCUCUCGGGUGACGAGCGGCGGACGGGUGAGUAAUGUCUGGGAAACUGCCUGAUGGAGGGGGAUAACUACUGGAAACGGUAGCUAAUACCGCAUAACGUCGCAAGACCAAAGAGGGGGACCUUCGGGCCUCUUGCCAUCAGAUGUGCCCAGAUGGGAUUAGCUAGUAGGUGGGGUAACGGCUCACCUAGGCGACGAUCCCUAGCUGGUCUGAGAGGAUGACCAGCCACACUGGAACUGAGACACGGUCCAGACUCCUACGGGAGGCAGCAGUGGGGAAUAUUGCACAAUGGGCGCAAGCCUGAUGCAGCCAUGCCGCGUGUAUGAAGAAGGCCUUCGGGUUGUAAAGUACUUUCAGCGGGGAGGAAGGUGUUGAGGUUAAUAACCUCAGCAAUUGACGUUACCCGCAGAAGAAGCACCGGCUAACUCCGUGCCAGCAGCCGCGGUAAUACGGAGGGUGCAAGCGUUAAUCGGAAUUACUGGGCGUAAAGCGCACGCAGGCGGUCUGUCAAGUCGGAUGUGAAAUCCCCGGGCUCAACCUGGGAACUGCAUUCGAAACUGGCAGGCUAGAGUCUUGUAGAGGGGGGUAGAAUUCCAGGUGUAGCGGUGAAAUGCGUAGAGAUCUGGAGGAAUACCGGUGGCGAAGGCGGCCCCCUGGACAAAGACUGACGCUCAGGUGCGAAAGCGUGGGGAGCAAACAGGAUUAGAUACCCUGGUAGUCCACGCCGUAAACGAUGUCGACUUGGAGGUUGUGCCCUUGAGGCGUGGCUUCCGGAGCUAACGCGUUAAGUCGACCGCCUGGGGAGUACGGCCGCAAGGUUAAAACUCAAAUGAAUUGACGGGGGCCCGCACAAGCGGUGGAGCAUGUGGUUUAAUUCGAUGCAACGCGAAGAACCUUACCUACUCUUGACAUCCAGAGAACUUAGCAGAGAUGCUUUGGUGCCUUCGGGAACUCUGAGACAGGUGCUGCAUGGCUGUCGUCAGCUCGUGUUGUGAAAUGUUGGGUUAAGUCCCGCAACGAGCGCAACCCUUAUCCUUUGUUGCCAGCGGUUAGGCCGGGAACUCAAAGGAGACUGCCAGUGAUAAACUGGAGGAAGGUGGGGAUGACGUCAAGUCAUCAUGGCCCUUACGAGUAGGGCUACACACGUGCUACAAUGGCGCAUACAAAGAGAAGCGACCUCGCGAGAGCAAGCGGACCUCAUAAAGUGCGUCGUAGUCCGGAUUGGAGUCUGCAACUCGACUCCAUGAAGUCGGAAUCGCUAGUAAUCGUGGAUCAGAAUGCCACGGUGAAUACGUUCCCGGGCCUUGUACACACCGCCCGUCACACCAUGGGAGUGGGUUGCAAAAGAAGUAGGUAGCUUAACCUUCGGGAGGGCGCUUACCACUUUGUGAUUCAUGACUGGGGUGAAGUCGUAACAAGGUAACCGUAGGGGAACCUGCGGUUGGAUCACCUCCUUACCUUAAAGAA